CAGAUUUCCCCCCCAAAUUCUCUCUUUCUUAAACUCUCACGUUUCUCUCUCCUAAGUUCACCAAAUGAAAGCCAAAUUUCUUCCAGAUUCUUACAAUUUCUCGCAAAUUUUGUUGAAUAGUUCAUAUUCUUGCUUAAAAUCUGUAGCAUUCAAAGAACUCACCGAAAAACACAAAAAAAUUCAUGAUGUAAAAACCCUACAAAUCUCAAUUUCGAUUUUCUAAUGGAUCGAAGUGAGAAAGUGGCGAAAUCUACAGAAAGAACUUGCGGACAAAGAAGAUUGAAUAGGUAUAUUGCGGCAUUGUGGAGCCAUGGUUGUUCCAGUUGAAGAAUAUAUUCAAGGUAUUCAUCAAUCUACUUUGCAAGUGACUGAUAUUCUAGUUAGUUGACAGAAUUUUGGCGAUAAUUAUCUCUAAUUUUAAGUUAAAUGUUAUGUUCUAGUAGUUUUUUGAUGCAAAAUUUGAGUUCUAAUUGUAAAUUCAUAUACAGAUCAGCUGACCUGAGUGUGACCAACCAGAUACACUAAAGUACUAUUUUUCAUCUAAAUUAGUUUAGUUUUUCUGAAUAUUUCAAUAUUCUGAAGAUAUCUGACUAUAAACGGCGAUGUUGAUAUUUUUGGAUUAGAUAUAUGAUCUAUUUUAUUAGCUUAGGUUCUGAUUAAUGGUUUAUCUAAACUAAAAAAUAUGAUGUUCCAAAAGGAGUAAUAUGUUCUUAUUUUUAUUUUGUAAAAGACAUUGACAUUAUGCGAAAGGUUAAUGUUAAGAAGCAGUAUACUAUUUAAUAUAUACACCUACUUAGAAAAUAAGAAAACAAGAAAUAUUAGAAUAUAUGAAAUAUGGUUUUAGAACAUAUGUAACAAGUUUUAGAACAUAAGUAAUGAGUUAUAGAACAUAUGCCAUAAGUUUCAGAACAUAUGGAAUGAGUAUUAGAACAUAUGGCUUAAGGUUUAGAACACAUGGCUUAAUUUUCUUUUUUAGUUUGCUCUAUGAGUUGUCCAUUCCUGAUGGAGCCAAAGAUUCGUUUGUUCUUUUGGAGCAAUUUAGAAGGUGGACCAUGGUGCACAUAGAGCAUAGUGCACCUUAAGAACACUAGUAUAUAAUUGAAAGAACAUCUGGUUACGAGAAAAGAACAUUAGUAUUUUUUUAUUUAGGUUUUUAAUAAAUAAUAAAAUAAUAUAUUAUUUUUAUAACAAAAAAGUGAAAUAUUAUAUCGCAUGUUUUUUUGCUGUAGUAUCAUGUUCUUUUGCUUAUGUACAUAUGUUCUUUUGGUGCACCAUGCUCUAUGUGCACCACGGUCCAUAGUCCACGGAUUAUUCUUUUGGUUUAGGGAUAUAAUGGACUAAAUUAAAAUGGCUUUCAAAAUCUCUUUGCUUCCUCUCCAUGAAGUAGAAGAUGGUCAUCCCGUUAUCGUUUAUGGUCAAAUUAAAACAACCUCUUUGCAAUCGUAGGGGUAAGCCCCCUUACUCGGCUUGUUGCGGGAGCAUGUUUGAAGGCAAUGAGGUAACAAUUUAUUAAUUAUUUCAAAUAUUGAGUACUAUUUCAUCAUCACAAAUUAUUUAGAACAUGAAGUUUCAUUUUUUAGAACAUGAAAGUUACAUUUUAGAACGUUUAUUUUUACUGAUUAGGAACAAUUAGUUUGUGGCUUAUAUUCAGACUUAUGGUUCUCUUUGGUACUUGGUUCCAUAUUUAAUUGUAUUUCCAUAUUGUAGUCGUGUGAAAUUGAAUUGAAAGGGUUAGUGUUCGCUUGACUUUGUCGAGAAUAUCAAGAUAUCAUUCCUCAAUAUUUUUUUUAAAUCUAAAUAGAACUUAUAUGUAAUCCACUACUUCCUUGAUUUCUUAUAAAAUCCUUUCUCAGCUUUAAGUUCUUGUUUAUGGGGGAUCUCAGUCACUACUCUGUAUUUUGUAAGAAUAUAGUUAUAAUCUUUACUCUCCAACACAGGCUGCAUUGAAUGCUCUUUGGAACGUUGUUGGUGCAAACAGAACUGAAACAACAUAUUGCUAAGAGGGGGAGAUGAAGAAAUCCUUUAGCGCUUGAUUUAUGAAAUUGCAUCCAAGACUCAAAAACAGACAUCAUCAGACUGCACUGUGGCUAGGUUUGUUGUUUGCUUUCUUAUCGGUCCUUGGCAGUACCUCUGGGAUUCUUCAAGGAGUUAUGUCCAUGACUAAAUCCAUUUGCUGCUUCUGCUCGAGUUAUCAGCUACUUCAACAACUCUCUUGGAUUCAGUAUCAGCUCUACAUCUCUCUUGUAACUCAUCAAUCAUCAUGAAUUCAGGUUGAUACUUCUCUUCCAGAUAUUUUUUCCUGCUCAAGUAUCUUCGACUGUCUCAUAUGAUUGUGAUAUCGCAUUUACAGCUUCCAACUUAUCUUCGAGCACCUUAAUAUUAUGCAAAAAGUUGAUGUUAAAUUUCUGUUUUAAUUAGUUUAUGGAUAAUUUACUAUUAUUGUCAUUCAAAAAUAUAUAACAAGAUUUCAUAAUAAAAUGGAAGUAAGAUUUAGAACACAAGGGUAGAGAUUUAGAACACAUGGCUAAGAACACAAGGCUUGAGAUUUAAAAUUUACUGUUAAUUGUUGAUGCUGGGAAUGCCAUAUGGCUCUCUUAAGAUGAACUGUCAAUUUGUGCUACAUGUUUUAUUUUCACUUGUUACAUUUCAUUGGAAUUUAUGUUGCUCUUAUUCUCCUAUGUGUAUUUCCCUGCCUGUAUGUUGUAUGUUGCGUAUCUGAGUAUCUCACUCCUCAAGGCCUACUCGUGGUCUCAAUUGUUCUAACACAAAGGUAUGAGAACAUAUGCAGAUUUAUUGUAUGAAUUAAAACAUAUAUAAUGAGUUUAAGAACAUAUGCAGAUUUAUUGUAUGAAUUAAAACAUAUAUAAUGAGUUUAAGAACAUAUGCCAUGAGUUUUAGAACAUACGUAUUAAGUUUUAGAACAUGUGGCAUAAGUUUUAGAACACAUAGUUUAAGUUUUAGAACAUAUGCGAAUUUAUUGUAAUAUUGUCUUCUAACCUUAGUAUUUUCAAAUAAAUAUUGUCUUAUAGACUUUAGAUAAUACAAAUCAAUUUUUAGAACAUCAGCAAGAUUAUAAGAAAAUUCGUAAAACACAUAUUAAUAUGUUUAGAAUUAGAAGGAAAGUCUCUUUUUGGCUUUAGAACAUUAAAACGUGCAAUAAUAUUUAGAAUAUGGACUAGACAAGGCUAGGAACAUGGAGUUUGACUUAUAUAUGAAUUAAUUCAAAAGAACUCAAGUAGUAAUAGCUGUUUAGGAUUUUUAUUUACUUUUAUUUAUUCUAUUGAAAAACAACUAACCUACUAGCUCAAUAGGUAGAGCUAUGUGCAAAUGCACAAAAGAUGUGGGUUCGAAUCCCACCUAGGUUAAUCAUGUAAGUUUAGAACAUAUGCCACAAUAUUUGGAACAAAAGUUCAACUUUUUAGAACAUGAACUAAAAGAGACUUUAAAUAUUUUUAAAGUGAGAAUAUUCCGGUCAAAUCUAAGUAGUUAUGUUAAUAAACAACUUUUUAAAAAAUGUUCUUUCACGUAAUUGAGCAAAGCUCGAUUAACUACAUGUUUGACUCUUUAAGCUCGAAUUAUCUUGAUAAGCUCAUAUUACCAACUAAGAUCAAACAAACUAAAUUUGGGUUGGGCUACACGAUUGCAGCCACUGGUAAUAGAAACACAUGCUACACUAUUUAAAACAAUCUUUAUUUGUAUCUAAAAAUAUGUUUAAUUUUAGAACAUACGCUACACUAUUUAGAACAACCGUUCAAUGUUUUAAAACAUGGAUGUAAGAGUUUAAUGUUUUAAACACGGUUUGGGAGAACCAUUGUCUAUUGUACAUAUCAUACCUUCUUGACUAACCAUUGUCUUUUAGUUGACAAAAAAUUUAACUCGUAAUUAUUCCAGCCUAUGUAGGAGUCGAACCUACACCCAUGUGCAUGACACAUUGCUCUGCCAUUUUGAGCUAAUAGGCUUUAAAAAACAUUUAAGAAUAAAAAAGAAUUUAUGUUUCAGGAAGUUCCAUUUACAAAGACACUCAAAACAGAUACAUAAACCUUUAGAACAUAUGCCACAAUAAUUAGAACAUAUGGAACAAUAAUUUAAAACAUUUGCAACAAUAAUCUAAAACAUAAGAUCAUAUGAUAUAGAAAUACAAGUUGUACUUAUCUGCAAUUUCAGCUCCUACGAUGUUGGUUUGACUGCCUUGGUAAAGGAUAUUGAUUGCCAAAUAAUUACGGGGUUUGCUGAACUCUUCCACCCGGAUAGACAAGUUUUGACUAGGGAUGAUGGCAAUGGGUCCAAGACCCGACCCAAAUCCGGUUGGACCCGGUCCAUUUUUAAGGGUCAUCUUUUCUUGUUGCAUCUCAAGAUCUUCCAACUAGCAUGAGGACCCUCUCCCGUGUCACGUAGAAAGCAUACCCAGCUCAUUGCAGUUGCAAGCUCUUGAAGCUCAUCCAAGACAGAAAUCGAAUCUCGUACAUAAAACGAGGCUUCUGAUCUCAGUAUACAAUCCAUUUCAAGCAUGAUAGUAUAUAUAUAUAUAUAUAUAUAUAUAUAUAUAUAUAUAUAUAUAUAUAUAAAUACAUAUUGCAUCUGCACAAAGAGAAGCGAAGAGGAACAAUAAUAUUAUCCUGUUUGUGUUUCCCCAACUUCUCUAACCGUACUAAAUGUCACCAAUAAGGGGCAAGGGACACAUGUACUGAUAGAAUUCCGACCUUUUCCUCUCAGGGGAAAAGAGACCAGAUGCAUGCAUUAGGUCAUGUGUCCGCGGGUAAGUAUCGGAUACCUCACACCUGAAUCACAGAUCACAAGCAUCACAAGAAGUCAGUCAUAUGACCAUCACUUUCGAAAAGUAAGGACUUAUAAAAUCAUAAUAUACUCUGUUAACAUAAAGUUGAGGUUGCAGCACUUCUUAAUGUUACUCAAAGAGUCUAAGGAUUAAAGAGGAAACGUACCAGUCAUCUAUAACUCCCAGGAUACCACGAUAGGCAAGGUAUUGUACCCGCUGUUGAGACCACAAUAACUUAACAAAAGGUGAAAGCCACGGAGGCAUUGGAAAGUUAUGCUCAAGAAAUGACAAACAUAUUGAGAUGUCAUGGUAAUAAGAUUGGACUGACAGACAAAAGGAAUAUGGAGGAUGCCAUUGACCAUACCAUUCAUUGGUUAAAUUGGAAUUAUCUCGAUAGAGCUCGAAAGCAUUUGUAAGCCCAUCGUCACAAAGAUUCCGGAGCAGCAAAGACAAGAUGCUAUUAAGGCUACUGUCCCAAAAAUUGAGAUCAGCAGUGACAGCGAGUUAGUACGGUUAGGAGCUUCCUAAAACAAGCUUCUGGUACGUUGAUACUUUGUUGGUAGUACAGGUUACUCUUGGAACAAGUUUUUGUGCAUGACGAAUAUUGUGUUGGGAUAUGACUCUAAAGCUAAGAGUUUAACUUAUGUUUAGCUGUAAUUCCUUUUGGUUUCUUUACAAAUAUGACUGUUAAGCAUGAAA